CAUUAAGUGCAGGAAAAGAAACCAAAUGGGAUUCCCCCAGUAACGGCGAGUGAAGCGGGACGAGCUCAGCACCGAAGCCGGCGGCCGAGAGGCCGUCGUGCAAUGUGGUGUUCGGGAGGGCUCCGUCCGUGGCCGGCGUCGGUCCAAGUCUCCUGGAAAGGAGUUCCGUGGAGGGUGACAGGCCCGUGCGACCGAUGGCCGCGUUCGCGGACUAGUCCUCCUUCGAGUCGGGUUGUUCGCUAAUGCAGCCCUAAGCAGGUGGUAAGCUCCAUCUAAGGCUAAAUACAACCACGAGUCCGAUAGUCAACAAGUACAGUGAUGGAAAGUUGAAAAGUACUCUGAAGAGAGAGUCAAAUAGCUCGUGAAGCUGCCAGUAUGGGAUUAAGCGCACGUGUGACGCGUGUCGUCCGACAAAUAGGCGGCCCGUGCUCCGUGGCCGGCGGCGCGCGGCGUCGGCGUCCUUCGUGGCGGCCGACGUCCGCGUCGUCGCGCCCGACGGCUCGCGGAGCCGUCUCCCUUUGUUGGACAUUGGCAGGUCGGGGCUUCGUUGUCCGGUCUUAUUUGCCGGUCGCCAUCCGCAGAGCCGUGUCGGGCCGGCGCGGGCUUUCGGGCUCGUGCCGGCGCUCCGUCGAACGUGCGCCCUCGCGGCGGCGACGGCCGGCCUGGUCCGCGGUGCGACGCGACCGAUUGGCGAACGACUGGGCGACGGCCAGCGCAAAUCGACUCGCAAGAGUCGGCUCGGCCUUUGCGUCGUCACGUGCGGCCCGUCUUGAAACACGGACCAAGGAGUCUAACAUGUGAGCGAGCGAUUGAGAUUGUCGAAUCUCAAACGCGCAAUGAAAGUGAAGUGUCGUCUGACGGCACGAGCGGAGAUCCGCCGUCACCCGUGGCGGCGGCGCACCCGCGGGCCGCGCCAUCGGCUGGCUUGCUCUUCGGAGCACUGCUGAGGCGCGGACCUAGAGCCCACACGUUGGGACCCGAAAGAUGGUGAACUAUGCCUGGCCAGGAUGAAGCCAGAGGAAACUCUGGUGGAGGUCCGCCGCGAUUCUGACGUGCAAAUCGAUCGUCUGAGCUGGGUAUAGGGGCGAAAGACCAAUCGAACCAUCUAGUAGCUGGUUCCGCCCGAAGUUUCCCUCAGGAUAGCUGGCGCUCGUGUGAUACGGAGUUUCAUCCGGUAAAGCGAAUGAUCAGAGGAGCUGGGCUCCUUGCGAGCUCAACCUAUUCUCAAACUUUCAAUGGGUGAGACGUCUCGCUGGCUUCACUGCAGCGACGACUCUGAAUCCGAGUGCCCAGUGGGCCACUUUUGGUAAGCAGAACUGGCGAUGCGGGAUGAACCGCAUGUCGAGUUAAGGUGCCUAAGCGGACGCAAAUCAGAUACCAUGAAAGGUGUUGAUUGCUCACGACAGCAGGACGGUGGCCAUGGAAGUCGGCAUCCGCUAAGGAGUGUGUAACAACUCACCUGCCGAAGCAAUCAGCCCUGAAAAUGGAUGGCGCUAAAGCGUCCCACCGAUACUCGACCGUCGUCGGCACGCGAUGCUCAUCGCGCAGCAUCUGACGCCACGACGAGUAGGGCGGCGCGGCGGUGAGCGUUGAAGGCGUAGCCGCGAGGCUAGCUGGAGCCGCCGUCGGUGCAGAUCUUGGUGGUAGUAGCAAAUACACAAGCAAGAUCCUUGUGGACCGAUGUGGAGAAGGGUUCCGCGCGAACAGUACUUGGACGUGGGUGAGUCGGCCCUAAGCCAACGGGUAAUUCCCGCAUCCCGCGUUCAUCGCA
rnacentral:rRNA from 1 species